rnacentral:rRNA from 1 species
GGGUUGUGAGGUUAAGCGACUAAGCGUACACGGUGGAUGCCCUGGCAGUCAGAGGCGAUGAAGGGCGUGCUAAUCUGCGAUAAGCGCCGGUAAGGUGAUAUGAACCGUUAUAACCGGCGAUACCCGAAUGGGGAAACCCAGUGUGAUUCGUCACACUAUCAUUAACUGAAUCCAUAGGUUAAUGAGGCGAACCGGGGGAACUGAAACAUCUAAGUACCCCGAGGAAAAGAAAUCAACCGAGAUUCCCCCAGUAGCGGCGAGCGAACGGGGAGGAGCCCAGAGCCUGAAUCAGCAUGUGUGUUAGUGGAAGCGUCUGGAAAGGCGCGCGAUACAGGGUGACAGCCCCGUACACAAAAGCGCAUGUGCUGUGAGCUCGAUGAGUAGGGCGGGACACGUGGUAUCCUGUCUGAAUAUGGGGGGACCAUCCUCCAAGGCUAAAUACUCCUGACUGACCGAUAGUGAACCAGUACCGUGAGGGAAAGGCGAAAAGAACCCCGGCGAGGGGAGUGAAAAAGAACCUGAAACCGUGUACGUACAAGCAGUGGGAGCNNNNNNNNNNNNNNNNNNNNNNNNNNNNNNNNNNNNNNNNNNNNNNNNNNNNNNNNNNNNNNNNNNNNNNNNNNNNNNNGGGCGUUAAGUUGCAGGGUAUAGACCCGAAACCCGGUGAUCUAGCCAUGGGCAGGUUGAAGGUUGGGUAACACUAACUGGAGGACCGAACCGACUAAUGUUGAAAAAUUAGCGGAUGACCUGUGGCUGGGGGUGAAAGGCCAAUCAAACCGGGAGAUAGCUGGUUCUCCCCGAAAGCUAUUUAGGUAGCGCCUCGUGAAUUCAUCUCCGGGGGUAGAGCACUGUUUCGGCUAGGGGGCCAUCCCGGCUUACCAACCCGAUGCAAACUGCGAAUACCGGAGAAUGUUAUCACGGGAGACACACGGCGGGUGCUAACGUCCGUCGUGAAGAGGGAAACAACCCAGACCGCCAGCUAAGGUCCCAAAGUCAUGGUUAAGUGGGAAACGAUGUGGGAAGGCCCAGACAGCCAGGAUGUUGGCUUAGAAGCAGCCAUCAUUUAAAGAAAGCGUAAUAGCUCACUGGUCGAGUCGGCCUGCGCGGAAGAUGUAACGGGGCUAAACCAUGCACCGAAGCUGCGGCAGCGACACUGUGUGUUGUUGGGUAGGGGAGCGUUCUGUAAGCCUGUGAAGGUGUGUCGUGAGGCAUGCUGGAGGUAUCAGAAGUGCGAAUGCUGACAUAAGUAACGAUAAAGCGGGUGAAAAGCCCGCUCGCCGGAAGACCAAGGGUUCCUGUCCAACGUUAAUCGGGGCAGGGUGAGUCGACCCCUAAGGCGAGGCCGAAAGGCGUAGUCGAUGGGAAACGGGUUAAUAUUCCCGUACUUGGUGUUACUGCGAAGGGGGGACGGAGAAGGCUAUGUUGGCCGGGCGACGGUUGUCCCGGUUUAAGCGUGUAGGUGUGUGUUCCAGGUAAAUCCGGUUCACUUUAACACUGAGGCGUGACGACGAGGCACUACGGUGCUGAAGCAACAAAUGCCCUGCUUCCAGGAAAAGCCUCUAAGCAUCAGGUAACAUCAAAUCGUACCCCAAACCGACACAGGUGGUCAGGUAGAGAAUACCAAGGCGCUUGAGAGAACUCGGGUGAAGGAACUAGGCAAAAUGGUGCCGUAACUUCGGGAGAAGGCACGCUGACACGUAGGUGAAGUGAUUUACUCAUGGAGCUGAAGUCAGUCGAAGAUACCAGCUGGCUGCAACUGUUUAUUAAAAACACAGCACUGUGCAAACACGAAAGUGGACGUAUACGGUGUGACGCCUGCCCGGUGCCGGAAGGUUAAUUGAUGGGGUCAGCGCAAGCGAAGCUCCUGAUCGAAGCCCCGGUAAACGGCGGCCGUAACUAUAACGGUCCUAAGGUAGCGAAAUUCCUUGUCGGGUAAGUUCCGACCUGCACGAAUGGCGUAAUGAUGGCCAGGCUGUCUCCACCCGAGACUCAGUGAAAUUGAACUCGCUGUGAAGAUGCAGUGUACCCGCGGCAAGACGGAAAGACCCCGUGAACCUUUACUAUAGCUUGACACUGAACAUUGAGCCUUGAUGUGUAGGAUAGGUGGGAGGCUUUGAAGUGUGGACGCCAGUCUGCAUGGAGCCGACCUUGAAAUACCACCCUUUAAUGUUUGAUGUUCUAACGUGGACCCGUUACCCGGGUUGCGGACAGUGUCUGGUGGGUAGUUUGACUGGGGCGGUCUCCUCCUAAAGAGUAACGGAGGAGCACGAAGGUUGGCUAAUCCUGGUCGGACAUCAGGAGGUUAGUGCAAUGGCAUAAGCCAGCUUGACUGCGAGCGUGACGGCGCGAGCAGGUGCGAAAGCAGGUCAUAGUGAUCCGGUGGUUCUGAAUGGAAGGGCCAUCGCUCAACGGAUAAAAGGUACUCCGGGGAUAACAGGCUGAUACCGCCCAAGAGUUCAUAUCGACGGCGGUGUUUGGCACCUCGAUGUCGGCUCAUCACAUCCUGGGGCUGAAGUAGGUCCCAAGGGUAUGGCUGUUCGCCAUUUAAAGUGGUACGCGAGCUGGGUUUAGAACGUCGUGAGACAGUUCGGUCCCUAUCUGCCGUGGGCGCUGGAGAACUGAGGGGGGCUGCUCCUAGUACGAGAGGACCGGAGUGGACGCAUCACUGGUGUUCGGGUUGUCAUGCCAAUGGCACUGCCCGGUAGCUAAAUGCGGAAGAGAUAAGUGCUGAAAGCAUCUAAGCACGAAACUUGCCCCGAGAUGAGUUCUCCCUGAGACUUAGAGUCUCCUGAAGGAACGUUGAAGACGACGACGUUGAUAGGCCGGGUGUGUAAGCGCAGCGAUGCGUUGAGCUAACCGGUACUAAUGAACCGUGAGGCUUAACCUUACAACGCCGAAG